AUGAGAGGGUUGGGUCUUCUCCUGUGCCUGGUGACAGCUCCCCAAUAUGUCCUGUCCCAGGUGCAGCUGCAGGAGUCAGGACCUGGCCUGGUGAAGCCCUUGUAGACCUUGUCCCUCUCCUGUACAGUUUCUGGUUACUCCAUUACCAGUGGUAGCUAUGGCUGGAGCUGGAUCCACCAGCCCCCAGGGAAGAGCCUUGAGUGGAUGGGGUACAUAAGUUCUGGUGGAAGCACUUACUACAGCCCAUCCCUCAAGAGUCGCAUCUCCAUCACCAGAGACACGUCCAAGAACCAGUUCUACCUGCAGCUGAGCUCUGUGACCACAGAGGACACAGCUGUGUAUUACUGUGCAAGAGACACAGUGAGGGGACUUCAGUGUCAGCCCAGACACAAACCUCCCUGCACGUGCACUCAGGGCCAGCAGGGGGCGAACAGCUCACAGCAAGCACAGCUCCAGUCCCCAUGUUAG